CGAAGGGGUCACACCUGUUCCCAUACCGAACACAGAAGUUAAGCCCUUCAGUGCCGAUGGUACUUGGCUGGAGACGGCCCGGGAGAGUAGGUCGCUGCCGGAU
rnacentral:rRNA from 1 species